CCUACGUGAGGCAGCAGUGGGGAAUAUUGCACAAUGGGGGAAACCCUGAUGCAGUGACGCCGCGUGAGUGAAGAAGUAAUUCGUUAUGUAAAGCUCUAUCAGCAGGGAAGAAAAUGACGGUACCUGAGUAAGAAGCCCCGGCUAACUACGUGCCAGCAGCCGCGGUAAUACGUAGGGGGCAAGCGUUAUCCGGAUUUACUGGGUGUAAAGGGAGCGUAGACGGCAGUGCAAGUCUGGAGUGAAAGGCGGGGGCUCAACCCCCGGACUGCUCUGGAAACUGCACGGAUGGAGUGCAGGAGAGGUAAGUGGAAUUCCUAGUGUAGCGGUGAAAUGCGUAGAUAUUAGGAGGAACACCAGUGGCGAAGGCGGCUUACUGGACUGUAACUGACGUUGAGGCUCGAAAGCGUGGGGAGCAAACAGGAUUAGAUACCCUAGUAGUC
rnacentral:rRNA from 1 species